GGUCCCGUAGUUCAAAUGGAUAGAAUGUCAGAUUCCGGUUCUGAAGGUUGUGGGUUCGAGUCCCGCCGGGAUCACAA
rnacentral:tRNA from 1 species